rnacentral:rRNA from 1 species
GACGAACGCUGGCGGCAUGCCUAAUACAUGCAAGUCGAGCGAACAGAUGAAGUGCUUGCACUUCUGACGUUAGCGGCGAACGGGUGAGUAACACGUAAGGAAUCUACCUAUAAGCGGGGGAUAACAUUCGGAAACGGGUGCUAAUACAGCAUAAUAUCUUCUUCCGCAUGGAAGAAGAUUGAAAGGAGGCUCUGCUGUCACUUAUAGUUGACUUUGCGGUGCAUCAGUUAGUUAGUGGGGUAACGGCCUACCAAGACGAUGAUGCAUAGCCGACCUGAGAGGGUGAUCGGCCACAUUGGGACUGAGACACGGCCCAAACUCCUACGGGAGGCAGCAGUAGGGAAUCUUCCGCAAUGGGCGAAAGCCUGACGGAGCAAUGCCGCGUGAGUGAAGAAGGCCUUCGGGUCGUAAAACUCUGUUAUAAGAGAAGAACAAAUUGUAGAGUAACUGCUACAGUCUUGACGGUAUCUUAUCAGAAAGCCACGGCUAACUACGUGCCAGCCGCCGCCGUAA